GAAUGAAUGAGUGAAGGCCCCUAAGAAUACAAGUCAGCCAAUAACCAGACAAAAUUCGUCUCAUGUUUUUCUCAUUCAGUAUUAUUUAGGCUAUAUCUCCCCUUGAAACUAGUUAAAACCAAUAUUCUCCUAAGUAGUCUAGUGUGGUUUAUGCAUUGGAUUGACCUCAGAUGAUGUUCAGCUCUGAUAUUUAUAAAAUAUAUGAAGUUGGUUCCAAGUGUCACCAUCUUUUUAAGACUCAAUUUCAUUCGCUGAGAAGUAAAAAGUAAUAUCCAACUCUUUGGAUGAUUGGGAAAAUUAAAAUAAAUUAGACAUAUAAGAAAUUUCUCAGAGUAUUGGAUUCAAGUAAAUAUUCAAAAGACUUUACCUUCUUUUUCCAGUGAGCUAAUAAUGUACAGAUAGAUUCUGUUCUCUUUUUUUCCUUUUGAUUGGGAUAUGAUUGAGAUUGUUCUCAUUAAUUUCAAGUGACUUUUAUUUAAGAAUUAGACAAUGAAGUUAUUCUGUAAAACAUUAGUAAAAUUAAUUACUCUUCCUUCCUGUGAAUAAAAUCAAUGUGAAAAGAUGUAAUAAAUUUAUACCGAUGCAGGGUUUUGGGUUACAGUAAUUAG
rnacentral:lncRNA from 1 species